AUUAAUAUAACGAACAGUGAAGUCAGACGAGUGUGAGAGAAGGUGAUGAUGCUCAGAAAUUGAUAAAAGACUACAGCUGUUCUCACUCUGUCUCUUUGCUACUCGUUACCCAAAUCCAAACCGCGUUGUCUAUCGUCACACUCACAUCUUUCAAAAACAUUGUUUGAAUUAUGAAAAAUUUACUCUAAGAGACACAAUUCAAGUUUCCAAUUACGCUAAAAGACACAUUGGAUAUUGAAAGCACUUUCUCAAGUUAAAUUGACCAAUAAACCUUUUAACUAGUAUGUAAGUGAGCUUGGUUACAUCUCCUAACCAGAAAUAACUGAUUAUAAACUGAACCAUCCAAUAAUUCAUUUUUCUUUCUUUUUUAAAAAAAAUUCAAGUCUUCUUCUGGAAACCAACGAGACCAAUUCCUUUUUUUUUUUUUUUUAAAUUCAAUUCUUUUGCUCUAGAUCUAGAAAUUGUAAAAAUGGAAUGUGCUAAAUCUUC
rnacentral:lncRNA from 1 species